AUGUUUUUAUCAACUAGAGAGUAUGAAGAGCUCAUAUUAUUGCAAGAAAAUUUAAUGAAUACGGCCUCCAACAGUUUGAGAGUUCCAUUUGAACAUUUACCUCAAUCCCGUACGGGAAAGUUCAUGUAUUUGAAAAGUAAACAAAUAUCGAGUACAAAUUGUGACGUUACACAACGGCUAGAGUCACUCUCCCGCCAUUCGUAGUUUUGAAUUUUCCCGCCAAAAAUUUAUGAACUUUAAGGAGCUUCUUUGGGGUGUUUGGGGGGUCAAAAAAUUCAGAGAAAAAUUAAUUAAGCUCGGAAUGAUGCACACUAUUGGAAAAUUAAUUUUUAAAAGAAAUAGGCGGAAUAGACCUAUUGUUGCUUUUGUGCUUGAAAAUAAUGCAAGUCGAAAUUAUUAACACCAAAGUUUACCUAAUUGGCUGAUGAUGUUCAAGAGAGUGGUCCUGGCUACUUUGUACCUCACAAAUCCAUUCCUGUGAAAAAAUAAAUAAAUGAAUGGUAUAGCUUGAAAACUUUGGUGAGAGACAAAGUACAGAUAAUCAAUGGGGGCUGCAAGAAAAUUAAAAUUAUUGUAAAAUUCCAAAUCAAAAGGGGUUUCCCAUUUCAAAAUGUAGGGUUUACAUCAACAUUUUGAAAUUAUUCAACCGGAAAGUGCAGAAAAUAUUUACCUGAAUCGACACCAACAACUCCAAAAUCGGCCCAUCUGUGUCCGAAAUACUAACCCUUAUGUGGAUUGCAUUUUGCAAAAGGAACCACUGGCAUUGCAAUGUUGCUAAGAUUGUGCAACUUCUUUUGUCUUGGAGGAAAAACCCGAUUAUCCAUUAAUAGUUUCUGUUUUACUCGCUAAAAACUGUAAAUUUAAGGCAAAAAUUACCAUCUAAAUUUCAUAGUUUUUCACGAUUUCCGCAAUUUUAUUGUAAAGGAUGAAGUUGCACAAUCUUAGCAUCAUUGCAAUGCUAGUGGUUCCUUUUUGCAAAAUGCAAUCCAUGUAAUGGUGGGGGAUGUAGCCUCUCUCAGAAAAAUGUUAAUUCCCUAAAUUGACAUAGAAGCUAGAAAAUAACAAAUUUGCAUGGGUAAUCGACCAGGAGGCAUCCGGAUUUGAGGGUCUCGUCGUCCCCAGAGACUUUCCUAAUGCGGUAAAGGGGGG
rnacentral:lncRNA from 1 species